rnacentral:rRNA from 1 species
CCCAUUACUCCUACGGAGGCAGCAAUUUAGAUCUGCGCAAUUGGGGCCAUCCUGACGCAGCGACACCAGUGUGGAGGAGGAAGGUCUCCGGAUUGUAAACUCCUUUUAUGAGGGAAGAAUAGAUGACGGUACCUCAUGAAUCUAACUACGUGCCAGAAGCAUCGGUGAUGCGUAGGGUGCGAACGUUAUCCCGGAUUAUUGGGCGUAUAGAGAAGCGUAGGUGUUUUGUAAGUCUUUAGUUAAAUACCACGGCUCAACCGUGGAGAAGCUUUGGAAACUACAAAAAUUGAGACAGGAAUGGGCGAAUGGAAUUCCCAGUGGAGCGGUGAAAUGCGUUGAUAUUGGGAGGAACAUCAGUGGCGAAGGCGAUUCGCUGGUCCUUGUCUGACACUAAGGCUCGAAAGCGUGGGGAGCGAAACGGAUUAGAUACCCGUGUAGUCCACGCCGUAAACAAUGGGCGCUAGGUGUUCGGUACAACUACUUAAUCCUUCGGGAUUGAAUGGAAGUAUUGAGUACUGCAGCUAACGCGUUAAGCGUYCCGCCUGGGAAGUACGGCCGCAAGGCUAAAACUCAAACGAAUUGGCGGGGACCCGCACAAGCGGAGGAGCGCGUGGUUUAAUUYGACGGCAAUYGAAGAACCUUACCAGGGUUUGAAAUGUAUYUGCAUGCCCCMUGAAAGUGGGGAGGCUUUYGAAGGUGAUACACAGGUGCUGCAUGGCCGUYGUCAGCUYGUGUCGUGAGAUGUAGGGUUAAGUCCCGAAACGAGCGCAACCCCUAUCCCAUGUUACAAGUGUYUUGGGAAACCGCCUCGGUAAAACGAGGAGGAAGGUGGGGAUGACGUYUGGUCCGCAUAGCCCUUAUGUCCUGGGCUACMCMCMCGCUACAAUGGCCAAUACAGUAGGAAGCCAAAUYGUAAGAUGGAGCUGAUCCUCAAAGUUGGUYUCAGUUCGGAWUGAGGUYUGAAACUYGACCUCAUGAAGUUGGAUUCGCUAGUAAUYGUGAAUCARCCAUGUCACGGUGAAUACGUUYUCGGGUYUUGCMCMCMCCGCCCGKCMAGCCMUGGGAGUAGGUGAUACCCGAAGGUGUUYUGUCUYUUGU